rnacentral:snRNA from 1 species
AUACCUUUCUCGAUCUUUUGUCUAAGAUAAAGUGUAGUAUUUGUUCUUAUCAGUUUUAUAUCUGAUAUGCAGAUCAUGUGUUCGCUUUAAUAUUAAAUUUAUUUUUGAUGGGUAUCAAAUAUGAUUGGAACCAUUACACCACAGAUGGGUCGUGAGAAACCACU